AUCCGACUGAAGAGUCCGAAGUAGGAGGAAAUGCGCAUCAAACUGCAU
rnacentral:hammerhead_ribozyme from 1 species